UUGACAAUAAUAGAAUGAAAUUCAAAACAGUGUGGCUGUGGCCAUUGAUUGACACAUUAAAUUCAUCCAUUGACUGGGACAAUUUACGUGAACGUUUGUCUGUAACGACCACUGUUCACGACGUACCUACGAUAGACAUUUAAACUGUGGGGUCACCAAAGGUUUCUUAACGCCUUUAAUUAUAAAAUAAUUCGAAAAAUCAAUCAGGAAUAACCUUUAUGUUUUGAUUUAUAUAAUCGAUAUAAAUCAAAACAUCGUGUUAUUUCUGAUUAAUUUUUCGAAUUACUUUAUUAAGGUGUUGAGAACCUUUGG
rnacentral:lncRNA from 1 species